rnacentral:rRNA from 1 species
GGAAUUUUGCGCAAUGGGCGAAAGCCUGACGCAGCCACGCCGCGUGAGGGAUGACGGCCUUCGGGUUGUAAACCUCUUUUGUCAGGGAAGAUGAUGACGGUACCUGGCGAAUAAGCCACGGCUAACUACGUGCCAGCAGCCGCGGUAAUACGUAGGUGGCGAGCGUUGUCCGGAUCUACUGGGCGUAACGAGCGCGCAGGCGGGCGUCCAAGUCGCGUGUGAAAGCCCCCGGCUCAACUGGGGAGGGUCACGCGAUACUGAUCGACUUGAAGGCAGGAGAGGGUAGUGGAAUUCCCGGUGUAGUGGUGAAAUGCGUAGAUAUCGGGAGGAACACCAGUGGCGAAGGCGACUACCUGGCCUGUUCUUGACGCUGAGGCGCGAAAGCUAGGGGAGCAAAC